rnacentral:rRNA from 1 species
AGUGAACGCUGGCGGUAGGCCUAACACAUGCAAGUCGAACGGCAGCACAGGAGAGCUUGCUCUCUGGGUGGCGAGUGGCGGACGGGUGAGGAAUACAUCGGAAUCUGCCCAGUCGUGGGGGAUAACGUAGGGAAACUUACGCUAAUACCGCAUACGACCUUCGGGUGAAAGAGGGGGAUCGCAAGACCUCUCGCGAUUGGAUGAGCCGAUGUCGGAUUAGCUAGUUGGCGGGGUAAUGGCCCACCAAGGCGACGAUCCGUAGCUGGUCUGAGAGAAUGAUCAGCCACACUGGAACUGAGACACGGUCCAGACUCCUACGGGAGGCAGCAGUGGGGAAUAUUGGACAAAGGGCGCAAGCCUGAUCCAGCCAUACCGCGUGGGUGAAGAAGGCCUUCGGGUUGUAAAGCCCUUUUGUUGGGAAAGAAAUCUUUCAGGCUAAUACCCUGGGAGGAUGACGGUACCCAAAGAAUAAGCACCGGCUAACUUCGUG